rnacentral:tRNA from 1 species
GCUGGGGUUGCAGAAUCCGGUUAAUGCGGCCGCCUGCAGAGCGGCAGAUUGUGGGUUCAAAUCCCACCCCCAGCU